AGCAGUUUUAAAUUUGUAAAGUUCACAUUAUGUUUUUUUCUUUUCUGGAUCAUGUUUGGUGUUGUGUGUUAAAAUGCACCACCAAACUCAAGGUCACGUAGAUUUUCUUUUAUGCUAUCUUUUUGAUGUUUGACAGCUGUGGUUUUAAGUUUACAUACAAUGUUGAGUGACUUUGGGUGGAAGUUGUAAAAGUUUUGCCACAUAUUUCAUUUCAUAUCCUAUGGGUUCCAAUUCCUUGUUCCUUAAGUAUUUCGGGAGGAGCCCAGAUAUUGUAGCACAUGUCAGUGAACCAUUGCGAAGCUUCUAGGACUCAGCUGGAGCUUGGAAGGAGGCAGGUGGGGCCCUGGCAGUGAGGACCCCGCUCCUGCAGGACUCCUGCGGUGCCUGACCACCUGCAGGGGGCGCCCGAGCGCAGGCGCUGCCCCAGGGGGCUGGCAGAUGCAGGGGCCCUUGUCCACCUGCAGGAACAGGAGCCCCCGCGCUGGGGAGGCUUGGGGAGCAUGUGGGGCCGCGGCCACUGUGACAGCAGCCCCGGCAUCUGCAGGCCCUGGGGUCCUGAGUAUGGGGGCUGAUGUAGGGCCUGACAAGCCUACAGAAAUUGGCAUUUCAGGACCCGCUGUGGAGGCUUCUGGAGGCAUUGGUCGGGUCCAUGCCGACAUCAGCAGGGACUCUUCAAAAUCACAAGUGACGGGACAGCAUCAUCCCAAGGGUCCUAUGGAGACCAUACCCGGCGUGCCUGAAACAGAGGGGACCGAUCAGCGCUAGGGACAUGGGGAAAGGAGGGAGCAAAAUGGCUCCUCUCCCCUGAAUCCUGAGGGAGAUCAGGACCCUCUGAGAUUGGCCGGGAAUGAGGGGAAGGGCCUUUCUGCCCAAUGGGAGCAGCCUGACAGCCUUACCUGCUUCUCCGCGAGAUGAUUCCCACCUGGGCCUGACCUGACCUGGUGACCGUGGUCACCACAUGGGCUCAUUGGCAACUGAUGACUAUGAGCCAAGAUUGACUCUCACUUCUACUGAUACCCGAGGCCCGUCCCCAGGAUCUCAUUUGUUCUUGGUGACUGUGGUCCUUGUCUGGGCUGAACUAACUCAUGCUUGGCUCAUGCUUGGCUCUGAUCCCCUCCUGGGCCUCACCUGUUCUUGCAGAUGUGGUCCCCACAUCUAGUGGGUGCUCUAGUGUCUAUGGUAUUUGUCUGGGCUUCAGCUGAUCUGAUGGUAUUCGGCUCUGAUAUCAGCCCUUUCCAAGGCCAGCAGGGUCUCCAGGUCCUCCUGCCUGGUGCUGCAAACCACACACAUCCAAGGAUGACACCGCAUGAAAACCUUCAGAGGACACAUGCGUCUGUGUGCUCCCUGUGGGCAGGUCCCCAUCUGUCUGACUGGAGGGUGGAGACAACACAGUAGCUCUGAGGGGGACGUGCUGGACUGGAGGAUCACUCAGGGACACUCACUGUCUGUAGCUGGCCCACCUGCAGUCCACCUUCCCAGCCACUGUCCCAGGACAUGCCGUCAUGCUGAGAGGACAGAGCUCUCCCACCCCCCUUAUCAGUAGCACAAGGGGGCCCAUGAGGCUGCGGGGAGCUGCUGACCUGAUCCUUGGGGUGAUGUUUCCCAGCCCAGGGCUGGCCCCGAGAUGGCGGUGGAUGUGCCUGCCAGAGAGUGUUCCUGCGGACUUGGGGCAGACCGAAGGUUUCUCUUAGAUUCCACAAGCAGAAAGACCAAAGGGAAAAAGCAAUGAACUGGACUUCAUCAAAAUUAAAAACUUAUGCCAGCAAAUGUGUGACCAAACUACCCACCUUGAAUGCAAUGAUUUGUGAAUAGCUUGAGGAGGGUUAUGCGGGAGCACGAGGGACUCCAUGUUCCAGUUUGUGAAGAUCAAGCCUGCUCAUGAGCCAGAAGGACCAAGAGAGCCCUGACCAUACACCCCGGACCACAGCGUGGGGGGAUUGGUCAUCACAUGUUGGGGUCCAUGCACCUAAGACGGACUGGAAAGGUCAUGGCUUGACCUGUUGCCUCCUGCACAGAACAGGGCUU
rnacentral:lncRNA from 1 species